rnacentral:rRNA from 1 species
GAUGAACGCUGGCGGCGUGCCUAAUACAUGCAAGUCGAGCGAACGGACGAGAAGCUUGCUUCUCUGAUGUUAGCGGCGGACGGGUGAGUAACACGUGGAUAACCUACCUAUAAGACUGGGAUAACUUCGGGAAACCGGAGCUAAUACCGGAUAAUAUUUUGAACCGCAUGGUUCAAAUGUGAAAGACGGUCUUGCUGUCACUUAUAGAUGGAUCCGCGCUGCAUUAGCUAGUUGGUAAGGUAACGGCUUACCAAGGCAACGAUGCAUAGCCGACCUGAGAGGGUGAUCGGCCACACUGGAACUGAGACACGGUCCAGACUCCUACGGGAGGCAGCAGUAGGGAAUCUUCCGCAAUGGGCGAAAGCCUGACGGAGCAACGCCGCGUGAGUGAUGAAGGUCUUCGGAUCGUAAAACUCUGUUAUUAGGGAAGAACAUAUGUGUAAGUAACUGUGCACAUCUUGACUGUACCUAAUCAGAAAGCCACGGCUAACUACGUG